AAAUGCCUAAAAUUCAAAAUCAUUUUUCACACAUUCUCUUUUUUUUUUUUUUAAAAAUUCAAAUUCGGGCUUGGAGCCCUUUUUAUUGAACAAAAAAUCAUGUAUAUUUACAGAGGCCAGGCCCAAAAGUGGCCUGGCCCAAUCUCAAAACAUCUAAAUUAAAAAAAAGCCUAAGGACAACCAGAAAAUUCUAAAUCGUUCAAUUAGGAAAGGCGACUGAAAAAUCACCUUUCCCAAAUCUCCAAAUCAUUAAGAUCUUUUACAAUAAUGUUGAGUUUCAAAUAUGCAUAUAUGCGGUAACGAUGAGCUGAACCUACUCUAUAACAGCUAAGUUUUCUCUUCCCUUUCCUUUCAUCUAUUCCUUAUACGAGUGGAUUGAUCACCACCCCGAGUAAGAACUAGGAUCUAGAAAUGAGAGAUGAACUUAUUCUAAUCUAUAUCUCGUGUGUCAAAUGGUUGAGUUUAUUUUGGCUGGAAUUUUUUGGAUCUGGACUUAUUUUCGUUUAAAUAUUUGGCCAGAAUUCUCCAAUUUUCACUGAGCGCAGGUUAUAUAUUGAUGGAAAUCGCUUCCAACGAAAGGUUUGGACGCUCAGGUUCCUGACCGCACUUAGAUAAGAUUCAAUCAGCAGUAUCAGAUUUAGAUGCUUUUAUUUUAGUAUUUCGCUUUAGUAUUUCAGUAGUCGGAGUUAGUUGGGGGCUUGUCCCAUCAAUUCCACAUUCAGACAGUUCAGUCAGAGGCUUUUCAGACUAGACUAGUUCAGACCAUAUUUCAGAUUUCAGAUGUGUUAUCAUAUGUUAUUACAGUUGUUAUUCUUUAUCAGUAUUCAAAUUUUGAGCCUUAUAGCA